rnacentral:rRNA from 1 species
CAGCCGCCGCGGUAAUACGUAGGUGGCAAGCGUUGUCCGGAAUUAUUGGGCGUGAAGGGCUCGCAGGCGGUUUCUUAAGUCUGAUGUGAAAGCCCCCGGCUCAACCGGGGAGGGUCAUUGGAAACUGGGAAACUUGAGUGCAGAAGAGGAGAGUGGAAUUCCACGUGUAGCGGUGAAAUGCGUAGAGAUGUGGAGGAACACCAGUGGCGAAGGCGACUCUCUGGUCUGUAACUGACGCUGAGGAGCGAAAGCGUGGGGAGCGAACAGGAUUAGAUACCCCUGUAGUCCCUGUCUCUUAUAC